CGGGGUGUAGCGCAGUUGGUAGCGCACUACGUUCGGGACGUAGGGGUCGCUGGUUCAAGUCCAGUCACCCCGACAA
rnacentral:tRNA from 1 species